UAAGGAUCAUUGACGCUCCUCGAGAGUACAUGAAAACCCUCAUCAUAUGAAGACUUAGAUGACCCUCUUCUCUGUUUAAGAGCAAACGAAAGACAGGACACAAGUCUUCUGAGAUGCUCUUGCAUUCUCCUUCCCAGCAAGCAAAAAACAUGUUCUCCAACAAAACAGGACCCCUGGCACCAAGCAGUGAGAUUUUAUUAAUGACAGGAAAUUAAAUCAUAAUUAACAUGCUAAUAUAUUUAAGUAAAUACAGUGCAGCGGAGUGAAAUGGAAUAAAUCUAUACAGAGAAUUUCGGGUAAAGUUGCCCUUGAUUUUCACUUGGGGUAUACCAUCAUCACUACCAAGAAUUGUUUGUAUAUCUUAUGGAAUUAAAAGUGGUUGACCAAGAUGGGAAUUAAGACGAUUGUCUGUAUAAAGCACAAACAGAAAAAGUGAUGUACAAGGUUUUUUUAAUUAUUGUUUUCAGUCAGACACUGUACAGUCAAAACUACCUGGAGGUGCUGAGGUUUUAAAAAGUGUUAUCCUCCUGUUCCAUGCUGAGAGACAGUGUCCAACCACAACGAGUCCUCUAAACACCACUGACACCAUAUAAAUUACACAGCCUGAAAUAGACAGGCCCCUGUUCCUCUUUUCUCCUGCAGGUUGAGUGGCUCCAUCAGUUGAAAACAUGUGGCUGAAAACUUCAAGUGAAAGAUCUAGAGUUUCUUGCAAAACUCCGAAUCAUUUUUGGACGAUGCAAGUCAAGUGCAAUUUGACUCAUGGUGCUGUUACCUGCUUGGUACUUACGGGCAGCUGACAAAGAUACGGACUUACUAUUAAUGCAAUCAAGCGUACAUGACCAUAUAUCAUGUACAUGGGCAUGUGUGUGCUGUUAUAAUCAAAAUGGACACAAAAAACAGGUCUGCUCUCUCCAGGAAGAAGAAGCAAAAUUAGAGAGGCAUGUUAAUUAAGAGGCCCAGAGCAGUAGUACUGGUGGUGAAUCAGGUCUGGAAUCCUCAAAUCCUCUUAUUUUAAGGAUAAUAAUCAAAGACAUGUUUUCGCACCCUGAAAGAAAGAUAAUCCUAUAAUCUUAUAACAGCAAUCAAAAGCAUAAAAUGCUUCGUAUCGGGCCAAAUCCCCAAGGCCCAUAUAACUGUGAUUACUAUGUGAAAAAAAAACCAAAAAAAGACCUGAUCUGAAAUAAAGAUAAAUGUAAGACAAAAUAUGGGCCAGUGUCUGUCAGCAGUCUUAUUCCAAAAAAAAAAAAAAAGAGGAGAGAGAGAGAGAGA